rnacentral:rRNA from 1 species
GAUGAACGCUGGCGGCGUGCCUAAUACAUGCAAGUCGAACGCUGGAGAUCUAGCUUGCUAGGUCGAAGGAGUGGCGAACGGGUGAGUAAUACAUAAGCAACCUACCCACGAAGACUGGGAUAAUCUCUGGAAACGGGGACUAAUACCGGAUAGGUAAUCGGAAGGCAUCUUCUGGUUAUUAAAGGUUAAAAACACUGGUGGAUGGGCUUAUGGCGCAUUAGUUAGUUGGUGAGGUAACGGCCCACCAAGACGAUGAUGCGUAGCCGGCCUGAGAGGGUGAACGGCCACAUUGGGACUGAGACACGGCCCAGACUCCUACGGGAGGCAGCAGUAGGGAAUUUUCGGCAAUGGGGGCAACCCUGACCGAGCAACGCCGCGUGAGUGAAGACGGCCUUCGGGUUGUAAAGCUCUGUUGUAAGGGAAGAACGGUAGAUAGAGAAUAUCUAAGUGACGGUACCUUACCAGAAAGCCACGGCUAACUACGUGCCAGCAGCCGCGGUAAUACGUAGGUGGCGAGCGUUAUCCGGAAUUAUUGGGCGUAAAGGGUGCGUAGGCGGCCUGUUAAGUAAGUGGUUAAAUUGUUGGGCUCAACCCAAUCCAGCCACUUAAACUGGCAGGCUAGAGUAUUGGAGAGGCAAGUGGAAUUCCAUGUGUAGCGGUAAAAUGCGUAGAUAUAUGGAGGAACACCAGUGGCGAAGGCGGCUUGCUAGCCAAAGACUGACGCUCAUGCACGAAAGCGUGGGGAGCAAAUAGG